GAUGAACGCUAGCGGGAGGCUUAACACAUGCAAGCCGAGGGGUAUAUUUCUUUCGGGAGAUAGAGACCGGCGCACGGGUGCGUAACGCGUAUGCAACUUGCCCUACUGAAAAGGAUAGCCCUUCGAAAGGAGGAUUAAUACUUUAUAAUAGAGAUCAUGGCAUCAUGAAUUUUUGAAAGAUUUAUCGCAGUAGGAUAGGCAUGCGUAAGAUUAGUUAGUUGGUGAGGUAACGGCUCACCAAGACGAUGAUCUUUAGGGGGCCUGAGAGGGUGAACCCCCACACUGGUACUGAGACACGGACCAGACUCCUACGGGAGGCAGCAGUGAGGAAUAUUGGACAAUGGGUGGAAGCCUGAUCCAGCCAUCCCGCGUGUAGGAUGACGGCCUUAUGGGUUGUAAACUACUUUUAUCUGGGGAUAAACCUUCUCACGUGUGAGUAGCUGAAGGUACCAGAAGAAUAAGCACCGGCUAACUCCGUGCCAGCCGCCGCCGUAAAAC
rnacentral:rRNA from 1 species